AUUGAACGCUGGCGGCAUGCCUUACACAUGCAAGUCGAACGGCAGCAUGAUCUAGCUUGCUAGAUUGAUGGCGAGUGGCGAACGGGUGAGUAAUACAUCGGAACGUGCCCUGUAGUGGGGGAUAACUAGUCGAAAGAUUAGCUAAUACCGCAUACGACCUGAGGGUGAAAGUGGGGGACCGCAAGGCCUCAUGCUAUAGGAGCGGCCGAUGUCUGAUUAGCUAGUUGGUGAGGUAAAGGCUCACCAAGGCGACGAUCAGUAGCUGGUCUGAGAGGACGAUCAGCCACACUGGGACUGAGACACGGCCCAGACUCCUACGGGAGGCAGCAGUGGGGAAUUUUGGACAAUGGGCGAAAGCCUGAUCCAGCAAUGCCGCGUGUGUGAAGAAGGCCCUCGGGUUGUAAAGCACUUUUGUCCGGAAAGAAAUGGCUCUGGUUAAUACCUGGGGUCGAUGACGGUACCGGAAGAAUAAGGACCGGCUAACUACGUG
rnacentral:rRNA from 1 species